UGGCGGACGGGUGAGUAACACGUGGGUAACCUGCCCUUAAGUGGGGGAUAACAUUUGGAAACAGAUGCUAAUACCGCAUAAAUCCAAGAACCGCAUGGUUCUUGGCUGAAAGAUGGCGUAAGCUAUCGCUUUUGGAUGGACCCGCGGCGUAUUAGCUAGUUGGUGAGGUAACGGCUCACCAAGGCAAUGAUACGUAGCCGAACUGAGAGGUUGAUCGGCCACAUUGGGACUGAGACACGGCCCAAACUCCUACGGGAGGCAGCAGUAGGGAAUCUUCCACAAUGGACGCAAGUCUGAUGGAGCAACGCCGCGUGAGUGAAGAAGGCUUUCGGGUCGUAAAACUCUGUUGUUGGAGAAGAAUGGUCGGCAGAGUAACUGUUGUCGGCGUGACGGUAUCCAACCAGAAAGCCACGGCUAACUACGUGCCAGCAGCCGCGGUAAUACGUAGGUGGCAAGCGUUAUCCGGAUUUAUUGGGCGUAAAGCGAGCGCAGGCGGUUUUUUAAGUCUGAUGUGAAAGCCCUCGGCUUAACCGAGGAAGUGCAUCGGAAACUGGGAAACUUGAGUGCAGAAGAG
rnacentral:rRNA from 2 species